CCGGCGACCGGCGCACGGGUGAGUAACACGUAUGCAACCUGGCCGUGACAGAUGGAUAACCGGGAGAAAUCCCGCCUAAUACAACAUAAUGCCGGGAGGGGACAUCCCCUGCCGGCCAAAGGGGGCGACCCCGGUCACGGAUGGGCAUGCGGCGCAUUAGGUAGUUGGUGGGGCAACGGCCCACCAAGCCGACGAUGCGUAGGGGUUCUGAGAGGAAGGUCCCCCACAUUGGAACUGAGACACGGACCAGACUCCUACGGGAGGCAGCAG
rnacentral:rRNA from 1 species